rnacentral:snRNA from 1 species
UGAGAAGCAAGAGCUGCC